rnacentral:miRNA from 1 species
UUAUAACCGAUCUUAAAAGUGAAACUUUUAAUAUAGGUUAUUUGAUAACCGAUCUUAAAAAUGACACUUUUAAGAUCGGUUCUUU